rnacentral:rRNA from 1 species
CAGUCGCCACGGUAACACGUAGGGUGCAAGCGUUAAUCGGAAUUACUGGGCGUAAAGCGUGCGCAGGCGGUUAUAUAAGUCAGAUGUGAAAUCCCCGGGCUCAACCUGGGAACUGCAUUUGAGACUGUAUGGCUAGAGUGUGUCAGAGGGGGGUAGAAUUCCACGUGUAGCAGUGAAAUGCGUAGAUAUGUGGAGGAAUACCGAUGGCGAAGGCAGCCCCCUGGGAUAACACUGACGCUCAUGCACGAAAGCGUGGGGAGCGAACAGGAUUAGAUACCCCCGUAGUCCCUGUCUCUUAUAC